UACGGAGGGUGCGAGCGUUGUCCGGAAUCACUGGGCGUAAAGGGCGCGUAGGCGGCGCGGAAAGUCAACGGUGAAAGUCCGGGGCUCAACCUCGGAUCGGCCGUGGCGACUCGUGGGCUGGAGCACUGUAGAGGCGGGUGGAAUUCCGGGUGUAGCGGUGGAAUGCGUAGAGAUCCGGAAGAACACCAGUGGCGAAGGCGGCCCGCUGGGCAGUGGCUGACGCUGAGGCGCGACAGCGUGGGGAGCAAACAGG
rnacentral:rRNA from 1 species